GCUUACGGCCACACCGGCCUGAGUACGCCUGAUCUCGUCCGAUCCGAUCUCGGAAGCUAAGCAGGGUCGGGCCUGGUUAGUACUUGGAUGGGAGACCGCCUGGGAAUACCAGGUGCUGUAAGCU
ensembl:rRNA 5S_rRNA 5S ribosomal RNA